CGGAGGAAAAGAAACUAACAAGGAUUCCCCUAGUAACGGCGAGUGAAGCGGGAAGAGCUCAAAUUUGAAAUCUAGUAGCCUUCGGCUGCUCGAGUUGUAAUCUAGAGAAGUGUUUUCCGUGCCGGCCCAUGUACAAGUCCCUUGGAACAGGGCGUCAUAGAGGGUGAGAAUCCCGUCCUUGACAUGGACCCCCGGUGCUCUGUGAUACACUUUCAACGAGUCGAGUUGUUUGGGAAUGCAGCUCAAAAUGGGUGGUGAAUUCCAUCUAAAGCUAAAUAUUGGCGAGAGACCGAUAGCGAACAAGUACCGUGAGGGAAAGAUGAAAAGCACUUUGGAAAGAGAGUUAAACAGUACGUGAAAUUGUUGAAAGGGAAACGAUUGAAGUCAGUCAUGCUCUUUGGUAUUUAUAUCAUUGAGUGGGGUCAACAUCAGUUUUGAGCGAUGGAUAAAGGCACUAGGAAGGUAGCACUCUCGGGUGAACUUAUAGCCUAGCGUCAUAUACAUUGUUUGGGACUGAGGAACGCAGCAUGCCUUUAUGGCCGGGAUUCGUCCACGUACAUGCUUAGGAUGUUGACAUAAUGGCUUUAAACGACCCGUCU
rnacentral:rRNA from 1 species